AGAGAGAGAAAGGAAGAGCUGGUAAAUCAAUCUCCAGAAGUAAUUAAAAGCCGGAAAAAAGAAACCAUUCCACAGUUCAUGAUGGAGACCUUGAAAACUAGCAGUCAAUUUUGAUUCUGUUUAGCCAAUUAUCGUCGAAAUAUACAGGAUCUCUGCAAGUAAAGAGAAGCUGGAUUAAGAUCAUGCAGCCUCACACUUACAAAAGCACCCAGUGCCAUCGUUUAAGUGAUCCAUACAAACAUGUGUGCCACAUACCAGCCAUCAAAUGACCCACCAGGUAAC
rnacentral:lncRNA from 1 species